rnacentral:rRNA from 1 species
UACGUAGGUGGCGAGCGUUAUCCGGAAUUACUGGGCGUAAAGCGCACGCAGGCUGCCGGUCAAGUCUGACGUGAAAGCUCCUGGCUUAACUGGGAGAGGUCGUUGGAAACUGGCGGGCUUGAGGCAAUGAGAGGGGUGUAGAAUUCCCGGUGUAGUGGUGGAAUGCGUAGAUAUCGGGAGGAAUACCAGUGGCGAAGGCGGCACCCUGGCAUUGACCUGACGCUGAGGUGCGAAAGCGUGGGGAGCGAACGGGAUUAGAUACCCGCGUA